GAUGGCCGAGUGGUCUAAGGCGCUAGUUUCAGGUACUAGUCUCUUCGGAGGCGUGGGUUCGAGUCCCACUCUGAUCA
rnacentral:tRNA from 2 species